rnacentral:tRNA from 1 species
GCGGCAAUAGCUCAGUGGUAGGACCCUGCUUCGCGUGCGGGGAGACCCGGGUUCGAUUCCCGGUUGCUUCC